UCCGAGUUGACCCCGGCAGUCUCCUUAGAGUCCCCACCAUUACGUGCUGGCAACUAAGGACAGGGGUUGCGCUCGUUGCGGCACUUAAGCCAACACCUCACGGCACGAGCUGACGACAGCCAUGCAGCACCUGUGCUGGCCCCUUACGGACACGGGCUUUCACCCGCUUUAACUAGCAUGUCAAACCCAGGUAAGGUGGGGAUGACGUAAGGAUAG
rnacentral:misc_RNA from 1 species